rnacentral:rRNA from 1 species
GCUGGUGUUUAUUACGAUGAGGUCCCACCUGUUCCCAUCCCGAACACAGUAGUUAAGCUCAUCCGUGCCGAAAAUACUUGGGGGGAAACCCCCUGGGAAAAUAGGUC